rnacentral:rRNA from 1 species
CAGCAGCCGCGGUAAUACGGGGGGUGCAAGCGUUGUUCGGAAUUAUUGGGCGUAAAGAGCGUGUAGGCGGUUUGUUAAGUCUGAUGUGAAAGCCCUGGGCUCAACCCAGGAAGUGCAUUGGAAACUGGCAGACUUGAAUACGGGAGAGGGCAGUGGAAUUCCUAGUGUAGGAGUGAAAUCCGUAGAUAUUAGGAGGAACACCGAUGGCGAAGGCGGCUGCCUGGACCGAUAUUGACGCUGAGACGCGAAAGCGUGGGUAGCAAACAGGAUUAGAUACCCUGGUAGUCCACGCCGUAAACGAUGAGAACUAGGUGUUGCGGGUAUUGACCCCUGCAGUGCCGCAGCUAACGCAUUAAGUUCUCCGCCUGGGAAGUACGGUCGCAAGACUAAAACUCAAAGGAAUUGACGG